UACGGAGGGGGCUAGCGUUGUUCGGAAUUACUGGGCGUAAAGCGCGCGUAGGCGGCUUUGUAAGUUAGAGGUGAAAGCCCGGAGCUUAACUCCGGAAUUGCCUUUAAGACUGCAUCGCUAGAAUUGUGGAGAGGUAAGUGGAAUUCCGAGUGUAGAGGUGAAAUUCGUAGAUAUCUGGAGGAACACCGGUGGCGAAGGCGGCAUCCUGGACCGGCAUUGACGCGUGAGGCGCGAAAGCUAGGGGAGCAAACGGG
rnacentral:rRNA from 1 species